UGGGGAAUUGUUCGCAAUGGGCGCAAGCCUGACGACGCAACGCCGCGUGGAGGACGAAGAUCUUCGGGUCGUAAACUCCUGUCGAGCGGGACGAACACCCACCGGGUGAACAACCCGGAGGGCUGACGGUACCGCUAAAGGAAGCCCCGGCUAACUCCGUGCCAGCAGCCGCGGUAAUACGGGGGGGGCAAGCGUUGUUCGGAAUUACUGGGCGUAAAGGGCCAGUAGGCGGCCAACUAAGUCGGAUGUGAAAUCCCCAGGCUUAACCUGGGAACUGCAUCCGAUACUGGAUGGCUUGAAUUCGGGAGAGGGAUGCAGAAUUCCAGGUGUAGCGGUGAAAUGCGUAGAUAUCUGGAGGAAUACCGGUGGCGAAGGCGGCAUCCUGGACCGACAUUGACGCUGAACGGCGAAAGCUAGGGGAGCAAACGGG
rnacentral:rRNA from 1 species